GUUUCUUUUGUUUGUUUUAUUUGAUAAAAGACAUAACAAUACACGAUGUAAAUUGACAUGGAAAACAUACAUAUCUCAAUCAAUAAGAAAUCAAAUAGUAUUUCAUGAACACAGAUUGUUUUAGGGGGGAUCACAAUUACAACAGUUUUUCAUGACAAUCAAUGUUUUGAGUUGUUCAGUCUGUGACCAAUUUGACAUUUCUGAAUUUAUUAUAGUGAUUAUUUUUCAAGUAGAAGUACUAGUAGUUAUUGAAAAUUUAUUAACAUAUUGAACUUUGUAUGGAGCUUACAUGAAGCAAAUUAGUAAAAACAAGAAUGUGUCCAAAGUACACGGAUGCCCCACUCCCACUAUCAUUUUCCAUGUUCAAUGGACUGUGAAAUUGGAUAAAAAAUAUAAUUAGGCAUUAAAAUUAGAAAGAUAAUAUCAUUGGGAACAUUUGUACUAAGUUUCAAGUUGAUUGGACUUCAACUUCAUCAAAAACUACCUUGACCAAAAACUUUAACCUGAAACAUGCACUUUCAUUUUCUAUGUUCAGUGGACCGUGAAAUUGGGGUCAAAAGUUUAAUUUGGCUUUAAAAUUAGAAAGAUCAUAUCAUAAGGAAAAUGUGUACUAAGUUUCAAGUUGAUUGGACUUCAACUUCAUCAAAAACUAACUUGACCAAAAACUUUAACCUGAAGCAGGACAGACGGACGAAAGAACGAACAGACAGACGGACGAACGAACGAACGAACGGACGCACAGACCAGAAAACAUAAUGCCCCUCUACUAUCGUAGGUGGGGCAUAAAAAUGAAACCAGCAAACAAUAUUGUAAUGUCAUCAAUUUAGGGUCCAACUGAAUUGUCUUUAAAUUAUUGAAAAUUGUUCUACCAUUCCGUCAAGGCAGGAAAUUAGUUUCUUCUUAAAGAGAACCAUCUCCAGAUAUAAUCUUAUAUUAUAUCAUGUUUUCGUGUGUGUUAGUCUUUGAAGGAUUUUAAAAAGAAAGUUAUUCAUAAGGAAUGAAAAAUUGAUAUUUGAAACUAAUUUUGAGAGUGAAGUUAUAGUUUCUUCUGCGAAAUGGUACAGAAACAUUGAAAUAAGAUGUAUACUUGCAGAUCAAAUUUACUGGAUUACCUCCCUUAAUUUAUUGGAAAAAGAAUGCUUUUGAUGAAGUAUAGUGAAGAAUCAUGACACUAUACAGGCUGUAAACUAAGAGUUCAAUAUCGAACAUUUAUCUAUUUAUUGCUUUCAUUCAAAUAAAUCUAUAAAAUAUGCUACAAUUAUUCAUGUCUAUUCAAUGAGUUCAUUUAUUUUUUUU
rnacentral:lncRNA from 1 species